rnacentral:rRNA from 1 species
GUGAGGAAUUUUGCGCAAUGGGGGCAACCCUGACGCAGCGACGCCGCGUGGAGGACGAAGUCUUUCGGGAUGUAAACUCCUGUCAGUGGGGACGAUAAUGACGGUACCCACAGAGGAAGCACCGGCUAACUCCGUGCCAGCAGCCGCGGUAAGACGGAGGGUGCAAGCGUUGUUCGGAAUUACUGGGCGUAAAUCGUAUGUAGGCGGCAAGUUAAGUUCAAUGUUAAAGCCCACGGCUCAACCGAGGAGAUGCAUUGAAUACUGGCUAGCUAGAGGGUGUUAGAGGAAGACGGAAUUCCCAGUGUAGCGGUGAAAUGCGUAGAUAUUGGGAGGAACAUCGGUAGCGAAAGCGGUCUUCUGGGACAUACCUGACGCUGAGGUACGAAAGCGUGGGGAGCAAACGGGAUUAGAAACCCUUGUAGUCC